rnacentral:lncRNA from 10 species
GGAAUAUUUUUCUUUUCUUUUUCUUUUUUUUUGAAACAGGGUCUCACUUUGUUAACCAGGCUGGAGUGCAGUGGCACAAUCAUAGCUCACUGAAGCCUCAACCUCCCAGACUCAAGCAAUCCUCCUGCCUCAGCCUCCUAGGUAGCUGGGAUUACAAGUGUUAGCCACCAUGGCUGGCUAAUUUUUAAUUUUUUUGUAGAAACAAGGUCUCUCUAUGUUGCCCACGUUGGUCUCAACCUCCUGGGCUCAAUGGAUCCUCCUGUCUUGGCCUCCCAAGGUGUUGGGAUUACUGGCACGAGCCACUGUGCCCAGAUGGGAUGUUUUUCUGUUUGUGUCGUCUAUGGUUUCUUUUAUUGGUGUUUUGUAUUUCUCCUUGUAGGAAUCUUUAACCUCUCUGGUUAAAUAUAUUCCUAGGUAUUUAAUUUUAGUUUUAUUAUAUGUAGCUAUCGUAAAUGGAAUUGAAUUCUUGAUUUGGUUUUCAGCUUGAGUGUUAUUGGGGUAUAUAAAUGCUACUGAUUUUUGUACAUUGGAGGGUCAAGGUUGGGAGGAAUGUCUGGGAGUUUAUCAGCUUCCCAUCUCCCUUUUGGCCAACACUAACUGGUGCUGAAGUUUGAAAGCCCUCACCUUAAAUAGGAGAAAAUAUCUGAGGCAUAACUUAUACUCUAGAUAUUCCUAAAGGAUCAGGCUGAAGAUACUCCUAUGCCACUUUGCCCAAAUCAUAUCCUUGCUUGUCAGAUUUCUUAGAGACAAAGGCUAAUGCUGAGAUUUUUGUUCAAGUGAUUUGUUGAGGGAGUUCUCUCAGGAUGUGGUUUUGAUUGGAGACUUGCGUCAGCCUGGCUCUAUGAUAGA